rnacentral:rRNA from 1 species
GUUACGGGCCAUACUGCCCUGAGCAUGCCGUACCUUAUCUGAUCGUGGAAGGUAAGCAGGGUCAGAUCUGGUACUUGUAAGAGAAUGGAAGGGAGGUUCCAAUGUCCUUGCUC